GCCCUGACCACACUCCGCCCUGACCGACCGCCUGACCGCCCUGACAUCCAGCUCUGAGUGGGCCGACACCUCCAGCGCGGGGCGGAGCCAGAAGCGGACGGCGCCCUCCGAUUGGCCGGAGGCUCAGGGCCGACCCCUCCCGCGCGGGGCGGAGCCAGCGGUGAGCGG